UACGGGGGGGGCAAGCGUUGUUCGGAAUUACUGGGCGUAAAGGGCGCGUAGGCGGUUGGAUAAGGCAGCUGUGAAAACCACGGGCUUAACUCGUGGCCUGCAGUUGAGACUGUCUGGCUUGAGUGUGGGAGAGGAGAGUGGAAUUCCUGGUGUAGCGGUGAAAUGCGUAGAUAUCAGGAGGAACACCCAUAGCGAAGGCAGCUCGCUGGGACGGUACUGACGCUGAGGCGCGAAAGCGUGGGGAGCGAACAGG
rnacentral:rRNA from 1 species